rnacentral:lncRNA from 1 species
CCGAUCCCUGCCCACCUUGGACACACCCCGUCCUGCUGAUCAGCGAUUGGCUGGAGGUCCAGCCAUCAUUCACCCCCGGGCCACCCCAGGUCGCCCUAUGGCCGACCGUAUUCCUACUCAGGGUUUGACCCCGUCACCUUCUCCUUCCUUGUCUUCCUCAAGCAAGGAAAGCGACUCAGGUCCGGAUUCCAAUGUUUUUACCCCAGAUAGUGGUAACAGCUCCGGCGAGACGCCGAAGCCUGGACCUCUUACCCCUACAGAAAUUUGGCAGGAUAAAGCAUUCAUUCGAUACUUAGAAUCUGGCAAGCUUCCUGUUGACGUUUCGGGAAGAUAAUUUGAGGGAGAUGACAAGAUUACGUAAAAAGGCUGCUCGGUAUGAACUUUCAAAUGGCCAGCUGUGGAAGCUGAGCUCGGAUAAGCAAUCACGGGUGCGAGUUCUCAAACCUGAGGAACGCCUGGCAGCGCUUCAAGAGGCCCACGACAUGGCUCAUUGGGGAGUCGGCAAGACCUAUGACUUUCUCCGCAAGCGUUUCUUUUGGGAGAACAUGCGACAAGAUGUGCAGACACACGUGGCCAAGUGUCAGAAGUGUGCACCUGGCAAGCUGAGGCUUGUACGGCAACCACGACUUCGCCCCCUUCCGGUGGUACCACUGUGGGGAAGAGUACAUGUUGAUCUGAUGGGACCUUACAAGGAGACACCUCGCGGCAACAGCUAUCUGAUCGUGGCUGUAGACUCAUGGUCUAAAUGGCCCGAGGCAGGACCCCUGCCGGAUAAGAAAGCUAGCACCACUGCAUCAUGGUUCUGGCAACAGUGGGUGACCCGCUAUGGAUCGCCCGAAAUGGUGAUGACAGAUCAAGGUCGAGAAUGGGAUGGCGAGUUUGCCCACCUGCUACGAGAGCAGAAAAUCGCACAUCGACACACCGCUGCCUACUCACCUCAGAGCAACGGGCAGGCAGAGCGUCUUGUCAGGGUGCUGUUGACAAGCCUACGCAAAUGCAUCAACGACCAGGAAGACAACUGGGACAUUGAGGUCUAUCAAAUUCUCUAUGGUUAUAGAGCUACCCGACAAGAUAGCACGCGGUUGAGCCCGGCGCUAUGUGUGUUCGGCAAAGAACUUACAACGGCGGCGGAACGCAGCACCGCCCCGAAUCCCACACUACCGUCUGAGGACCCUAGCGGAGGUUAGCCCCGGCCAGGUGGCCAGGUUUCUGAAGGGGGGGGACGCUACAGCUGUAGCGACCUCCAGCUGGUCAUAGA